CUAAAUUGUAAACCACUUUACAUAAACGUGCAGUAUCUAUUCUUACCAGCUUAAUAUCUGCCUGAUCCUGACGGGCCCAUGACAUUAGUCAUAUUUUUGAAAUGCGGCGCCAGGACGAAGCUUGCCAUUCCAGUGCCACCGGUCGUCCUGGCAUUGCACUGCUGCCGGGUUCGGCCCACAAUGA